rnacentral:rRNA from 1 species
GACGAACGCUGGCGGCGUGCUUAACACAUGCAAGUCGAACGGAAAGGCCCUGCUCUUGUGGGGUGCUCGAGUGGCGAACGGGUGAGUAACACGUGAGUAACCUGCCCUUGACUUUGGGAUAACUUCAGGAAACUGGGGCUAAUACCGGAUAGGAGCUCCUGCUGCAUGGUGGGGGUUGGAAAGUUUCGGCGGUUGGGGAUGGACUCGCGGCUUAUCAGCUUGUUGGUGGGGUAGUGGCUUACCAAGGUUUUGACGGGUAGCCGGCCUGAGAGGGUGACCGGCCACAUUGGGACUGAGAUACGGCCCAGACUGCUACGGGAGGCAGCAGUGGGGAAUAUUGCACAAUGGGCGGAAGCCUGAUGCAGCAACGCCGCGUGCGGGAUGACGGCCUUCGGGUUGUAAACCGCUUUCGCCUGUGACGAAGCGUGAGUGACGGUAAUGGGUAAAGAAGCACCGGCUAACUACGUG